UGUUGAUAAACUCUCGAUGGUUCAGAACCGAAACAAAUUCAAAAUUUAAAUAAAAGCAAACAACAAAAGUUUUCAGAUGUUAAAACUAAAAUGUUCGGAUCAUGACAAAUAUUGCGUAGGUAGUUAUGGUGAAGAAACAACAUUUUUAUAAAAAGUUUAAAUGCACUUAAAUGAUUAAAACAGUAGGUAAAACUAUUAAAUAAAUGCCUUUGAUAUUUUAUAAAAUCAUAAACUAUUUUAUCUUGAGGUAAAA